CCUUUCUUACCCAGCAGUGCAACUGAGGGACCCGCUGUGCUGCACCUGGAUGUGGUGGAAAGUUCAAUGGCUUCAGCAGCUCUGAACUGCACUCCAGCUGCCCAGCAUGAUGUCUGCUUAAAAGGGCAGCCGUGCAACCAGGGAUCACACCUGAUCAUUUCCUGAUCAGAGAUGUCCUGCAUAAAGGAGUGGUUUCCACUGUGUACCAUCCAGACGUGCAAUCUUCCUCUCCAACACUGCUACUCCUUUCUCUGCUCUUGUCCUGGAGGUGGCUACAGGGGAGGGACAGCAGGAUGCCACGCUGGCCCAGAAGGG